rnacentral:rRNA from 1 species
CCCUUAGAUGUUCUGGGCCGCACGCGCGCUACACUGAUACGUUCAACGAGUUUACAACCUUGAUCGAAGGGUCUGGGUAAUCUUUUGAAUGCGUAUCGUGCUAGGGAUAGACUAUUGCAAUUAUUAGUCUUGAACGAGGAAUUCCUAGUAAACGCAAGUCAUCAGCUUGCAUUGAUUACGUCCCUGCCCUUUGUACACACCGCCCGUCGCACCUACCGAUUGAGUGGUCCGGUGAGGCUUUGGGAUCUGAGCGGAAAGAGCGUUUCGCUGUUUCUGCUCGGAAAACUCAGUCGAACCUUAUCAUUUAGAGGAAGGAGAAGUCGUAACA